CCCUGGCGGUCCAGUGGUUAGGACUUGGCACUUUCACUACCGUGGAUCCAGGUUCAAUCCCUGGGGCAGGGA
rnacentral:tRNA from 1 species